rnacentral:rRNA from 1 species
AGAGUUUGAUCAUGGCUCAGGAUGAACGCUAGCGGCAGGCUUAAUACAUGCAAGUCGUGGGGCAGCACAGUAUAGCAAUAUAUGGGUGGCGACCGGCAAACGGGUGCGGAACACGUACGCAACCUUCCUACAGGCGGGGAAUAGCCCAGAGAAAUUUGGAUUAAUACCCCAUAAAAUUUUGAGAUGGCAUCAUCUUAUUAUUAAAGCUUCGGCACCUGAAGAUGGGCGUGCGGCUGAUUAGGUAGUUGGCAGGGUAACGGCCCACCAAGCCUACGAUCAGUAGCUGAUGUGAGAGCAUGAUCAGCCACACGGGCACUGAGACACGGGCCCGACUCCUACGGGAGGCAGCAGUAAGGAAUAUUGGUCAAUGGACGCAAGUCUGAACCAGCCAUGCCGCGUGGAGGAUGAAGGUCCUCUGGAUUGUAAACUUCUUUUAUCUGGGACGAAAAAAGGGUUUUCUAACUCGUCUGACGGUACCAGAUGAAUAAGCACCGGCUAACUCCGUGCCAGCAGCCGCGGUAAUACGGAGGGUGCAAGCGUUAUCCGGAUUCACUGGGUUUAAAGGGUGCGUAGGCGGGCAAUUAAGUCCGUGGUGAAAUACCUGAGCUUAACUUGGGAACUGCCAUGGAUACUAUUUGUCUUGAAUGUCGUGGAGGUUAGCGGAAUAUGUCAUGUAGCGGUGAAAUGCUUAGAUAUGACAUAGAACACCUAUUGCGAAGGCAGCUAACUACGCGAAUAUUGACGCUGAGGCACGAAAGCGUGGGGAUCAAACAGGAUUAGAUACCCUGGUAGUCC